GUGCAGCUCUGAUGCUUUGCGGAAGGAGACAGAGCAGGAAGUGUAAGUGAAGUGGGCUGUCCUCAUUUUAACGGAACACCGAAAGAUAUUACCGACAAAGGCAAAAACCAGUCCAUUAUUAACGUGCAGUGUUUUGUGAGCAGCUUUAUGAAUGUGCUCUGUGCUCAGCCUGCAGGGAAUAAACGUGCUUUCUUUCCUCACAGUUGUGCCCAAAGUAGCGACACACAAAGACAUUAAACAUAAACUCAUAGCACACAGCAGUGGGAUGAUGAAGCGUUAAAUGUGGAGCCUGUUUAGAUGCUAAGCUAACAGCUAGCAGGUCUACCUGGUCGGCCAGUUUGAGGACAGCCAUCUCUGGGUCAGCUCCGGCGUCUCAUCCACUCCCUCCGACGCCGCAGCACCAUGCACGGUGCGACGCUGCGCCCCGCUCCCCCUCACCGGGCUCCGGGACUUCCUGCAGCUGGACUAGUGUGUGUAGCGGCUCCUCUAGCAGACACACAGGCGGGGGGUGCUGAUGAAGGCCGGGAGAAGCACAGGGCCAGCAGCCCUGCUCCACUCACGCUAUCUGCGGAGACGCUGCUGCGCCGAGGCGGCCGCUCGGAGGCGGAGGGGGGACCCAGGAACGAUUUGACCCCAAAACAAUCCACAUUUAUGGCCGCUGCCGCUGCUGCUGCUGCCGGUGCACGGAGCUCCCAGCCGUCUCUCCGAGCCCAUACACCACCCACAGAAGCCUCCCUCCUCCCCGGUCUGCAGAGCCACAAGCCUCCCGGAGAGGCAGCCAGGCUGAACUCGGCUGAACGGAGAUCACACAGGAAGUUGGAGCCUCGUCUCUCCUCUUCCUCCUCCUCCUCCUCCUCUCAGAUGCAGAAGUGCAAUGAGGAGCAGCUUCCUCAGCAUCAACAACCACCAGCAGCUCCUCGCUGCUGCCCCCCACCGGACACCGAGGGGACGACUUCUCUGCAGCCUCCAGGGGUCACGAAACAAGGUGCAUGAAAAGUGUUCUUUCUUUCCUGAUCACUUUAACCCCAACCCACGAUGACCCCCCAGCGGUGCGCGGAGGUACUGCAGGAGGGUCGCCAAAGUGUUUGUAGAUAAAGCAAUAACUAUUUUUUAAUAUUUCUUUUUUGUAUUACAAUAUAUUUGUUUUGCUUUGCGCAUUCACAUUCACACAGACCCCUUCAAGCCUCUUCUACACCAUAUAUACAGUAGGGGGUCCCUGCACCACGCUACACCAGUUUGGGGGUCCUUUAUUAUUUAUUUAUUAUUAUUAUUAUUAUAAAAAAUUUAAAAUACAAAUAUAUACAUAUUAUACAAUAUUAUUAAAAUAAUAUAAUAUUAAUAAUAAAUUGUAUUUGAAUAGUCCCUUUCAAAACAUAAUUACAAAGUUCUACACAACAGCAAAAAUAAAAUCAACAAAAUAUAAGUAUAAUUAAAAAAAAGGGAAUAAAAUAAGAUUUUUAAAUAAUAAAACAAUAGAUUAUUAGACACAGCAACUGAUGAAUGAAGUAAAAGCACAUUUAUUAGUAAUUUAUUACACUUGAUUUGAUUUUGAGCAAACCUGCAAAAUCACAAGAAUGGCCCCUUUAAGAAAAAUGAAGUAUAAAUUAAAGCUUCAUCCUGUUUAUAAUCUCUAGAUCAUGUUCCUUCAUGUACAUAAUGAGACGUUUCUAAUCACAGUCAUCUCCACCGGACACACACACACACACACACACACACACACACACACACACACACACACACACACACACACACACACACACACACACACACACACACACACACACACACACACACACACACACCAUGUAUUUUUCAUGGAGAUGCAUUCCAGAGGUUAUGGGGGAAGGACGUUGAAAAGGCUCCUUAUUGUCUCUGGAAGAUAAAAAACAUCAAAACCUUCCAGUUCAGGAUUCUUCUCCACUUUGCUCCAGAUGAAAUAUCUCAACAACUAUGGGAUGGAUUGCUAUGAAAUGAACAUAGAAUACACUUUAACCCCGCUGAACAUGUGAGCAGGUAACACGCUGAUGUUCCUCACGGAGCCACAAUCAUCACAUGAUAAAUACAUGUCUUCAGCAAAUUAGCCUCAGAGCAAAGCACACACACAGCCGGAGCAUGUGACCCGGGUCGGGCAGGCUGCUGCUCAACCACAUGAGAGUAAUGUUGAGCCAGAAGCCCGGCCCGUCCCCACGGCCCGUCCCCACGGCCCGUCCCCACGGCACAGGCCGGCAGACCUUCUAUUAAACACACAGGCACACGUACAGUAUAUAUACACAUGUGUGCCUCUGGUUUUCAAGGGAUAUCCCCCUCUCUCUCUCUCACACACACACACACACACACACACACACACACACACACACACACACACACACACACACACACACACACUUCCUCCUCCUCAGAUUAGCAGAGUCUGUCGGGGGAAUCUGGGUCAAAGCACGUGAAACUGGCUGCAGCAGCGGU
rnacentral:lncRNA from 1 species